rnacentral:other from 2 species
AAAACCCUACUGUGUACGUAAAUGUUCCUCGAUGUUUUGAACCAACAUAUUUUACAUUGGGAGUUUGGACUCUAUUGAAGUGAGGCAAUGCCUAAUUUGGACUGCCGGGCCCAAUAGGAGAACACCCACCUGCUCAGGCAGGCUCAAAACUCGGUUUGUAACGGCAUAGUGGGGCUUCU